rnacentral:rRNA from 1 species
GGGAACUGCGUUNUGAACUGGGUGACUAGAGUGUGUCAGAGGGAGGUAGAAUUCCACGUGUAGCAGUGAAANGCGUAGAGAUGUGGAGGAAUACCGAUGGCGAAGGCAGCCUCCUGGGAUAACACUGACGUUCAUGCUNGAAAGCGUGGGUAGCAAACAGGAUUAGAUACCCUGGUAGUCACGCCCUAAACGAUGUCAAUUAGCUGUUGGGCAACUUGAUUGCUUAGUAGCGUAGCUAACGCGUGAAAUUGACCGCCUGGGGAGUACGGUCGCAAGAUUAAAACUCAAAGGAAUUGACGGGGACCCGCACAAGCGGUGGAUGAUGUGGAUUAAUUCGAUGCAACGCGAAGAUCCUUACCUGGUCUUGACAUGUACGGAAUCCUCCAGAGACGGAGGAGUGCCUUCGGGAGCCGUAACACAGGUGCUGCAUGGCUGUCGUCAGCUCGUGUCGUGAGAUGUUGGGUUAAGUCCCGCAACGAGCGCAACCCUUGUCAUUAGUUGCCAUCAUUUAGUUGGGCACUCUAAUGAGACUGCCGGUGACAAGCCGGAGGAAGGUGGGGAUGACGUCAAGUCCUCAUGGCCCUUAUGACCAGGGCUUCACACGUCAUACAAUGGUCGGUACAGAGGGUAGCCAAGCCGCGAGGUGGAGCCAAUCUCACAAAACCGAUCGUAGUCCGGAUUGCACUCUGCAACUCGAGUGCAUGAAGUCGGAAUCGCUAGUAAUCGCAGGUCAGCAUACUGCGGUGAAUACGUUCCCGGGUCUUGUACACACCGCCCGUCACACCAUGGGAGUGGGGGAUACCAGAAGUAGGUAGGGUAACCGCAAGGAGCCCGCUUACCACGGUA